UCAUACAGGAGAGAAACCUUACGAGUGCA
rnacentral:piRNA from 1 species